rnacentral:tRNA from 1 species
AGGAAAGAGAGGGAUUCGACCCC